GCUCAGUUCAUGUCAGGACCUGGAUGAUCACUCGUCAUCAUGGAUCUGAACAUUAGCUGCUGUUGGAAACGGCUCCUUCUGUUCUCUCUCCUUCUUGUCUGUGUCAAUGGACAAACGUCAGGGCCAUCUUUCACGCUGACA